UACGUAGGGUGCAAGCGUUGUCCGGAAUUAUUGGGCGUAAAGAGCUUGUAGGCGGUUUGUCGCGUCUGCUGUGAAAUUUCGGGGCUCAACCCCGAACUUGCAGUGGGUACGGGCAGACUAGAGUGUGGUAGGGGAGACUGGAAUUCCUGGUGUAGCGGUGAAAUGCGCAGAGAUCGGGAGGAACACCCGUAGCGAAGGCGGCACUCUGGGCCGGUACUGACGCUGAGGAGCGAAAGCGUGGGGAGCGAACAGG
rnacentral:rRNA from 1 species